AUUGAACGCUGGCGGCAGGCCUAACACAUGCAAGUCGAACGAGUGGCGGACGGGUGAGUAAUGUCUGGGAAACUGCCUGAUGGAGGGGGAUCACUACUGGAAACGGUAGCUAAUACAGCAUACCAUCAGCGGUGCCCAGAUGGGAUUAGCUAGGUGGUGGGGUAACGGCUCACAAAGGCGACGAUCCCUCGCUGGUCUGAGAGGAUGACCAGCCACAAUGAAACGGAGACACGGUCCAGACUCCUACGUGAGGCAGCAGUGGGGAAGAUUGCACAAUGUGCGAAAGCCUGAUGCAGCAAUGCCGCGUGUAUGAAGAAGGCCUUCGGGUUGUAAAGUACUUUCAGCGGGGAGGCGUUACCCGCAGAAGAAGCACCGGCUAACUCCGUGCCAGCAGCCGCGGUAAUUC
rnacentral:rRNA from 1 species